rnacentral:lncRNA from 1 species
UUUCAAUAUAAUUUCGAGAACAAAUUCAUCUUUAAUAUUAUUACAAAUGUAUAAAAUUCUCUUUUGCGCUGGAUGCUCUUGAUUUUAUGGUCCGACGAUGCCACAACUUUGCGAAUGUUGCAGCUUUUAGACACUUUGCGCGUUAUUAACGGUUUGCCGCGAAUCACGAACCGUGCUAUAUUUGUAUAUACAUCGAGCACCGCCUCUAACGGUAAACGGCCGAGCAAAUUCUAGGGUGGGCGAUAAUUAAACACUGUAGCUAUAUAUUGUCGGAUCAACCGCGUUUUCCUCCACCCUGUGCACGUUGGAUUAUCAACUAAUAACUAAGAUCCAUUGCGAUAUACUCUACCGCCUUCGGCCAUCUUUGAAAUUCAUGUCUAGUCUAAUCGAAUUACGUUCUGUGCCAAUUUCCAUGACAGAUUUCUAAUGAAUUUGUUUUUAGAAUAUCUACCAUCUUAAUUCUAUCGAUUAAUGUACGAUUACGAUAUAAAACGAGUGUGAAUAACGAGAUAUUGAUAGUUAAUAAGUCGAAAAGCUUUCUCGAGAAUUUCGAGUAAUCGAUAUUUUCAACGAUAUUCGAUAUGCCAUUGAAUCUUCGCGGGGUAGAUCAUAUGUCCACGAAUACAUAUUGGCGCUCGCGUCGACGUAUAAAUUAUUCAUACAGUUUGUGAAGCGAAUCUUUCAUUCGACUUUAAUUUAUAAUAUAACGGCUGAUUGUUGUACCGUUGCUCCAUCGAAUAUUAGUUAAAAGAAACUGUUUAAAGUGAUAGGUUAUGGUACGAAUGAUGAUAAUUUGGAAGCAUAUUUAAUAUAUUUGGAAUAUUAUUUUUAAUUAAAAUCAUCCUGCGGAAAGAGUUCUCACGAAAAUAAAGAUAAAAGGAUAUUCUGGACCAUCGUAUUAUCAAGAGAUAUAUUUGUGUCUUCACAAUGUGAUUUCCGUAUUUCUGUUUAUGGAAGGAAGGUUUUAUCUGGUUGAAUCGUCCUCACGAUUCCGACGGACGCAGCGCGUGCGAUGCAUUUUUAAGAUUCCGAAAAGAUGUUCCCAUUACAAAAACGAUCAAAAUAGCGAUUAAUUGAAAAAAAAAAAGAAUAUUAAUUGCUAACAUUUUAUUUGAGAAUGUAAUUUAUUUCGUAUUACAUUACAAAAUAUCAAAAGGAUUAAAAUCAACAUAAAAAAGUAUAAAUAUUUUUAAUAAAAAAUGUAUAUAAUUUCUGAAUAUUCAACUAAAUAGACAAUUCAUUUUAAAAGAAGAAGAUCCAUUUUCCAUUUAAUCGGCUAAUUGAACUCGGCCAGAAAGGUUAAUACUCAACUAUAUAAACAUUAGAUACAAGCGAAUCGAGAUCGAAAAGCAAAAAAAGAGGCGAAACUAAGCCGAGGAUACGAUGAAACUGCGUUUAGCCACGACAUCGAAAGAAGCGGGAGCAGCAGCAUUCCGCAGGGCAUAACUUAAGCGAGCCCUGAGCUCACGAAGGGAAGAGACGGGUCACGACGCCAUGUGUGCGGCCUACCAACCACACCCACCACCUAUUUAUUUAUGUCUACCUCACGGCUUUUUGUUCGUACCUUCGAGCUUUCAUUGCACCGUGAACAACGUGAACAAUCGAGGAGAGCCGCCUGCUCUACCGGAAAAAUCUUCUUCCCGAAGGAAUCGUCCUUCGAGCAAGCCCGUUUCGAAUUAUUUGUAAAACACUGCUCGCAAAGAACGCUCUUGCUAUCUUGAAAAAUAGAAUAUUACGAUGAAUAAUAUGGACAUGAGGCGCUGGUAUAAAAUCGAUCUUCCGUUUCCGCCGAAGACACGGAGGCCGUUGCCAUGAUUUUUCCCUUGGAGAGCAUGGUUGGCCGGGGUCAGGUUCUAUCGAAGGCUCCAGUUGAACGUUUUCUAAGGCCGUGUGCAACGCCGUUCAUGACUUAACACGGUGCUUGGGUUCGGCUGUGCUUUGGCGGUUCAGGCCUACUCGGGACAAUGCCGCAUUGUUUCAUCGUCGUAGCUAUCUAGUCGGCACGGUAGCGGUCC